CCAGUGUUCAGACUACCUGUUC
rnacentral:ncRNA from 2 species